UACGUAGGGUGCGAGCGUUAAUCGGAAUUACUGGGCGUAAAGCGUGCGCAGGCGGCGCGUUAAGACAGGUGUGAAAGCCCCGAGCUUAACUUGGGAAUUGCGCUUGUGACUGGCGUGCUGGAGUGUGGCAGAGGGGAGGUGGAAUUCCACGUGUAGCAGUGAAAUGCGUAGAGAUGAUGGAGGAACACCGAUGGCGAAGGCAGCCUCCUGGGCCAGCACUG
rnacentral:rRNA from 1 species